rnacentral:lncRNA from 1 species
UGGGUUGGUUAUAGCAGGAAUGCCUAAUGAUAAAUUUUGGCACUUUUUUUUGUCAAUUGAGAGAAAUUGUAUAAAGAAUUUCCCUUAAACUAGCCUGUACUUCAAUAAAAAUUCAGAGAGUUGUAAUCGAAAAAAAGUAAAAUAACAAAAAUACUGAACUCAGAGGAAAAUUCAAAACGGAUAGUCUCUAAUCAAAUGGCAAAAUCAAAUGAUUAAACACAUCAAAAGAAUGGAUAACAACUGUCAUAUUCAUGACUUGGUAAAGGUAUUCUCAAAUGUAAGAAAAUGGUGGAUUGAACCUGGUUUUAUGGCGCUAAACCUCUCACUUGUAUGGAAUCAUUUUCAAACAUCAAUAAGAAAUUUUUUGAUAUUAUGUAUAUUUGUAAAUGCAUUGUUACCAUGGUAAAUAGGAGAUAUUUUGUUGUGUCAUACACUUCCUAAAUAUAUAUAAGUGGCUUUCAUGUUUUGCAUGCUUAUCAAUAUUUAUAAUAAUUCUAGAACAAUAAAUUUUGUGUAAAGUCUGGUUAUAAAGAAUUAAGUAAUAUGUGUAAAUAUAGUGAAACUUUGCAGCAGAAUCAUUUGAUAUUGUAAAAAAUAUUUUAAACAAUUUCUGAAGGGAGCUAUUUAUGUUAAGACAAUUUGUAUUUUGGAUUUGACUGUAGAUUUGGCAUAUGAUUACCCAUCCAUGUUUCAUUUGUCUUUAGCCUUCAUCUUAGUUUAACAUUAGGUUUUUGUGAUUUAGUCAAUUUAGCAAUUACCAUAAGUACUACAUCUAAAUGUGGGUCAGCUAUAUUUGGCAGAUGCAAAUCCAGGAUUUAAAAAGGGGGUUGGGGAUAGGGCCCCAAACUAAAUGUUUAGAGUGGAACAUGUAAAAAUUCUAUACAUUAACCAUAUAUGUAGCUGCAUAUGGAAGGCUAGGGCCCUCUGCCACCUCCCCCUAAAUCAACCUCUGUUUGGUCAUUAGAAUCUUUAACUUUCUACAUGUAACUCAAACCCCCAACCUUAAGGGGGUUUGAUUUGCAACCUUGGGACCUGACAUCUCAUUCAGAAUUAAAGGACAUGUAACCUUUAACUCAGGUUAUUUGUUAAACAAAUACAUUGUUUGAAUGGUUUAACACUUGUCAUUUUAGGGCCCCUUAUGUAGCUUGCUGUUCAGUGUGAGCAAAAUAUUAAAACCAAUUACCUAGGGUCCUAAGAAAAUUUGCCUCACACUGAACAGCAAGCUACAUAAGGGCCCUAAAAUUACAAGUGUUAAACCAUUCAAACAAUGUUUUUGUUUAACAAUUAACCUGAGUUAAAGGUUACAUGUCCUUUUGUGCUUUGGUCAAUUUAGCAAUUACCAUAAAUACUACAUCUAAAUGGGGGUCAACUAUAUUUGGCAGAUGCAAAUCCAGGAUUUAAAAGGGGGGUUGGAGAUAGGGCCCCAAACUAGUCAAUGUUUAGAGUGGAACAUGUAAAAAUUCUAUGCAUUAACCAUAUAUGUAGCUGCAUAUGGAAGGCUAGGGCCCUCUGCCACCUCCCCCUAAAUCAACCUCUGUUUGGUCAUUAGAAUCUUUAACGUGCUACAUGUAACUCCAACCCCAAACCUUAAGGGGGUUUGAUUUGCAAGCUUGCGACCUGACAUCUCAUUUAAAAUUAAUGGACAUGUAACCUUUAACUCAGGUUAAUUGUUAAACAAAAACAUUGUUUGAAUGGUUUAACACUUGUCAUUUUUAAGGCCAUUUAUGUAGCUUGCUGUUUGUGUGAGCAAAAUAUUAAAACCAAUACAUUGGGUCCUUAGAAAAUUGCCUGAGAGGUACUGUAUGUGUGGUUGCUUCUGUUCUGAUUUUAUGAAUAUAUAAUAGGCAGUAUGGUCACUAACAAAGACAGCAUUUCUUAUUAACAUUUUAAAAACUGUAUAAAAAAUGUGAAGAUAUACCAGUUUUCUUUCAUCAGUUAGACCAUCAGCAAUAAGUUUGGAUAAUAACUAAUUUAAAGCUUUACCAUAUAUUGGAAUCAAUAUUUGAUGUAACAAUCAUGACAAUGGUCACAUGUUAUGAGAAAAAAAUCCAUAUUUAUUUUGAACUCAUCACCUCUAAGAUCAGGUCACAUGAACUAUAAUGUUUUUUUAUUGGUUCUAACUCAAGAACCUGAAAAGAGAUUAAAUCCAACUUUUUUUGUAGAUACAUGUAGCUACCAAUUGAUUUUUGCUGUUUCAUAUAUUCCAUAUUGCUUCAUUGGUUUAUUCUAUAACUUUGUAUACUAAUUAUUAUUUUGGCCUGCUUUUCUGUAUACUUCACAUUUUUUGCUCCUUAUUCUGCAUUUUUUGUCCAUUAUUCACUAUGUUGGAAACUCCAUUCAAGUCUAUUUAUAUGGAAUGGUGAGUUUGAAUGAUUCCAAGAAAGGUUCAUCUUUUAAUUAGUGCUCAAAUUAUUUUAUUUUUUUCCUUAUUUUUUUUUUUUCAAGAAACUAAGUUAAUGAUCAGAAAAAAUCCCAACGUGUUUUCUUUUUAUCUUUGAUAAUGGUCAUGGUUUUCAAAAGGCCCUGCAUUUUUGGGGCCUUAUGAACCUUUUAAGUGCUAUACUUCCAUUUAUUUCUAAUCAGACCAUUAGAUGUUGCCUAGGUACCUGGUAAAUGAUACAAUCUUAAUUUGUUGUGAUACAUGAACUUCAUAUUAUGAAACUUAAAUUUUGUACAUGUAUAUAUGGUACAUGUAUUUUAAAAUAAGUUAGAGUGUAUUUAAUGGAUAUAAACUUUGUUCACAUCUGUUUGUCAUGCAUACACAUUUAGUAUUUCUUUCUUUGCCAUUCAAAAAUGCCAUAGAAACAUCAAAAACUUAAAUUUCUUAUUCAUUUAAAAUAGUAUGACUUAUUUGUUUGAUUCCAAAUACAUGUAAAGAAGGAGGAAUUAUCUUCAAAUAUAAAAUCCUUUAAUCUGAGUCUGCUUGAAUGAACAAUUGAAAGAAUGGGCCACACAGAACCAGA